rnacentral:rRNA from 1 species
GACGAACGCUGGCGGCGUGCUUAACACAUGCAAGUCGAACGGAAAGGCCCUGCUUGCAGGGUACUCGAGUGGCGAACGGGUGAGUAACACGUGGGUGAUCUGCCCUGCACUUCGGGAUAAGCCUGGGAAACUGGGUCUAAUACCGGAUAGGAGCCAUUUUUAGUGUGAUGGUUGGAAAGUUUUUUCGGUGUAGGAUGAGCUCGCGGCCUAUCAGCUUGUUGGUGGGGUAAUGGCCUACCAAGGCGGCGACGGGUAGCCGGCCUGAGAGGGUGGACGGCCACAUUGGGACUGAGAUACGGCCCAGACUCCUACGGGAGGCAGCAGUGGGGAAUAUUGCACAAUGGGCGCAAGCCUGAUGCAGCGACGCCGCGUGGGGGAUGACGGCCUUCGGGUUGUAAACUCCUUUUGCUAGGGACGAAGCUUUUUGUGACGGUACCUAGAUAAGAAGCACCGGCUAACUACGUG